rnacentral:rRNA from 1 species
GAUGAACGCUAGCGGCAGGCUUAAUACAUGCAAGUCGAGGGGCAGCAUGAGUGUAGCAAUACAUUUGAUGGCGACCGGCAAACGGGUGCGGAACACGUACACAACCUUCCUAUAAGUGGGAAAUAGCCCAGAGAAAUUUGGAUUAAUACCCCGUAACAUAAUGAUGUGGCAUCACAUUAUUAUUAUAGCUACGGCGCUUAUUGAUGGGUAUGCGGCUGAUUAGAUAGUUGGCGGGGUAACGGCCCACCAAGUCUACUAUCAGUAGCUGAUGUGAGAGCAUGAUCAGCCACACGGGCACUGAGACACGGGCCCGACUCCUACGGGAGGCAGCAGUAAGGAAUAUUGGUCAAUGGACGCAAGUCUGAACCAGCCAUGCCGCGUGAAGGAUUAAGGUCCUCUGGAUUGUAAACUUCUUUUAUCUGGGACGAAAAAAGGCGAUUCCUCGUCACUUGACGGUACCAGAUGAAUAAGCACCGGCUAACUCCGUGCCAGCAGCCGCGGUAACAC